rnacentral:rRNA from 1 species
CGGGGGGAGCAAGCGUUGUUCGGAUUUACUGGGCGUAAAGGGCGCGUAGGCGGUCAGCACAAGUCAGUUGUGAAAUCUCCGGGCUUAACUCGGAAAGGUCAACUGAUACUGUGCGACUAGAGUGCGGAAGGGGCAACUGGAAUUCCCGGUGUAGCGGUGAAAUGCGUAGAUAUCGAGAGGAACACCUGCGGCGAAGGCGGGUUGCUGGGCCGACACUGACGCUGAUGCGCGAAAGCCAGGGGAGCGAACGGGAUUAGAUACCCCGGUAGUCCUGGCCUUAAACGAUGGAUGCUUGGUGUCUGGAGUUUUAUAGUCUCCGGGUGCCGUAGCUAACGCGUUAAGCAUCCCGCCUGGGGAGUACGGUCGCAAGACUG